AUCAAUGGCGGGCCGGGCGGGGAGGCUUCGGCCUGCCGGUUCCUUUGUCCCGGUCUGCUAACCCCGCUUUGGCCCGCCCCCCGU
rfam:Aedes aegypti strain Liverpool supercont1.962 genomic scaffold, whole genome shotgun sequence.